UGGCGUAUUGUAUAAAUACAAUCAUAAUUUAUAUAAUGACCAUUUCUAAUAAUCUAAUGUGUGAAACUGAAAUGUUCAGUUAGUUUAAUAAAACUAAUUUAACACUUUGGAAAGCUAUUCUUAAACGUAUUUGUUGUUUGAAUUUUGAUUUGAAAAUUAAUACAUGGAUGGUACCUACGAUUAAAUAAUAGUCAAUAUCGUCUUAGUUAUUAUGCAAAUAUGAAAUGGGUAGGUAUUAGGAAGGCAAUCAUAAAAUACAUUAUAGACUCAAAUUACUAUCUUUCCGGCUAUCCGCAAAUAUUAAUAAUAUUUAUAGUUAUUUUUGCAUCGUUGAAGGUUUGAUUAAUGUUUGUUCGUAUAUAGAUUUGUAUAGGUACGAUAUAUUAUUUUAUUCUGGUGUAUCAAUAUUCGAUAACGACCAUUGGUCAAUAUAAAAGUCAUCAUUAUUUCUGAACACAAGCAAUAAUAAUAAUAAUAAUAAUAACAACAACAACGACCCAAAAACGUAUUUUAAAACAUUUAGGUAAUAAUAUUGUCUGCAACGGCUUAAAAUAAGAUGUCGUUUAAUAUAACAGCCUAUAGGUAAUAAUAUAUGGAGAGGUUUAGGUAUACGCUACGAGAUAAUAAUAAAUAAUACUAUCCCAUCCAGUAUUGUAAGCCUCAAAACGACAUUAGACACUAUAUAUUCGCCACGGUACCCCCAGUGAAGAAGAAGUUAAAUGGGAAGGAAGAAAAAAAAAAUUAGAUGAAAAUGAAUAGAAAAAAAUGACAUUAAAUCUCGCUAAUCUCGUUGUAGGUAGUGUAGACGUGUAGUAUAAUAGUUGCCGUAUUGUCGCCGUUUAAUAAUUGCAGUACGUGCGUCGCGAAACAAUAGAGGUUAGAUCGCGUAGCAUAUGGAUUAUAAUAAUAAUAAUAAUAAUAAUAAUAAUAAUAAUAAUAAUAAUAAUAAUAAUAUACGCUGCAGAUGUUUAUUAUAGUGAACUGUGGAAAUUGUCACGUACACUUCAAAAGGCAAUACUCGGGGGCGCAUAAUGUACGUCGAUGCGUAUGCGCGUGUAGUACCUACGUAUUAUUAAUGUGCGAUAAUGUCGACUUUAUUAAUAUGGCCGUCGCCGUGGUAAAUGGUUCGAAACAUUUUGCAGCAGUCGGUAAGUAGGUAUAUUAAAAAUGAUAAUUAUUAACAACCUAUGCGUAGGUACGCGUAUAUAGCUAAUAUUAUGCAUAUUAUAAUAUGGAUGUUUAAAUUAUCAAUGGCAGGGCGAGGACAUUUUGAACCCUGUAGUCACUAUUGUGAACUUGUAUGCCAAUAACCGCGUAACUGCAGUGUUUAUUUGAUCCGAAAUAAUAAUAAUCCAAAUGAUUUUCCGGGUUCUCUUAUUCAGACAUCAAAAUUGGAUUUACCAUUUAUAAGAGGACAAAUGAAAAAUGAAUGGCCAUCCGAAAGUUCUUUUGUGAAUACACAGGAAUUGAGUUAUCUCCAAAAUUUAAAUUUCAAAAUUUCCAAAAUACGUAAGUACAACGUUCAGUUAAAUAUUUUUUCUUUGGAUAAAAUCGUUGAGGGUCUAAAACUAAACUCGUAAGUUAAUUUGUCUUAUGUCAUGCUCUUUGAAUCCAACUAUUCUACACACACACGUUGACGACAACCAGUCAUACUUGUUAUAUGACCGUUCAAAAAUGAUAUUUAUUUCCAAGAUAGGAUUGUCUGGGGGGAAAUAGUGGUAGAAAAUGUUCUGUAUUAACUGAUGGUCUCUGUCAAAUACACUCCAUUUCCUUUUCAAAGGUCAAAAGAAGACAACAUUAACAGCUGACCACAAAACAAAUACCAGAUAUUUCACAAGCAGGCGAUUUGUUUAUACAAAAGAGCUCAUUGUCGUUUUGCAUACUGAGUUCUGACAUAGCCCUCAUGGGGUGGAUUUAAAUGCAAAAGCGGCUGUCGAUGAUGCAUUCUGAUGGAAUCAUAAAAAUAAUUCGGAAGAACGCAAAAAACACAAUACAUAAUAUACCGAUAGGCAAUAGGUACAGUUGUUUUGAAUUCCAACCACCGCUAGGUUAGUAUAUAAUGCAAUAUGUAUUCAGAUAAUAAUUCACUGCCCACUGGAUUAUGACCAGAAGUUAGAAAAAAACACAUCCAAAACAAAAAUGUUACAUCAAAUAUUAUAAACUAUGAUAACAUGUUUACCCUAAAAAACGUACGAGAAUAUACUAUUGUAAUACUAUACACGUAUAUUACUUUCUUAAUAAUUAGUAAUUAAAAUUAUAUUAGUGAUAUUUUGUAAACAAUAAUGUACACCAUAAUAAAGGUAGGUACCUAUACCACCUACCUGCUUACUGUGUUAUUUGAUUUCAAUAUUUAAACAAUCUCAUUAUAAUUAUAAGUUAAGAAUAUAAUUUUAAAUAAUUAAUAAAUUAAUACAUUUCUGUUUUAAUUUUUAUAAAAUGUAUAGUAUUUUUCCUACACACUAGUCCAUAAUUGUUGAUACAUAUAAUAAGCGUAAGUGCCUAACACUGUAACAUCUGCUGUAACCAUACAGCGGGUGAUUCAUCUAACGCAAGACAAAUAUUAUUAAUUUAAAAACUAUAAACGUUUUUUUCAAAGCUUAUACCGAGCAGAAUAUUUGUUGGAGUAUUUUUAUAUAAUAUAUGAAUCGAAUAUUAGACGAGUAUUUUAGGAUUUCCACGUAUUUAAAGUUUAGAUUAGCGAAGUAGAGUGGUACAGGGGUACCCUUUAAAAUGUUAGUAGGUACACUACUUUGCUUAUCUAAAUUUUAAAUAUUUAUGUGCAUAAUAAACUACUUAUCUAAAACUUGAUUUUUAUGGAUCAAAAUACUCCGAAUAAUAUUCUGUUUCGGAAUAUGAAAUUCAAAAUAUAUGAUAAUAUCAUUUAAAAGAGAAAAAAAACUUUAAAAAUGAUGUUGAUAAAGAAAGUAAAAAGUAUCAAUUUUUCCAAAAAUGUUGUUUUGUAAUGACUUAAAAUAAUGUAAAAUAAAUAUAUUCAAACACGUUAUCGUUUGCUGAAGUAAUGAGUGUCUUACGUUAAUGGAUAACUCUGCAUAAAAAGAAAAAUCUGUGAGUUUGAUUCAUAAUUAUAGCUUUUUUCAAUCAAGUGUUGUUUAUUUGAUUCAUACAAAUUUGAUAACAUAGUAUUUAUAAAACUUAUUUUGGUAAUAAAUUUGAAAAAUGUAUUGUUCUAGAAUAGUUAAAUUAGAACACUUUUGAUGUAUCUAUCUAAUUAGAUACGGUUAAACGAUAUUUAUUUGUAUGUUAAGUAUACAGAAGUACAGAACAAUAUUCUGGGAAAUAUUAUUGUUAAUGAUUAGGUGUAUAGUAAACGACAGGUGAUGAGGAAUAUAAGUGACUUAAAAAUACUUUGAGUUAUAUAAUUAUAUCAACUUCGACAACGUUUUCAACUGAUCUAGGAUACAUAUCAUUAAGUACUUGAACCAAUCGGUUAUUUUAGAUAUAUAUAUAUAUAUCAGUAAUAACGGAAGUGAAUCGAACUGUAAACUACCGUUAUGAGUUCGUAAAGUCAUUUCUGUUGCGAAACACAUGGUUUCACUAGAAGGUUAACGAUCGAGGAAUUUAAUCAAAUGUUUAGAACUACUUCUUUGAAAGAUGUUGGAUUUAUCUCUUGGGUACAAUAGCUAUAAUAUAUCGAUAUACACAUAGAUUGGCAGAAUAACAGUUAAUUUAAAGCAAGUGUGUCAUAGAGAAAAAAAGUGGACACACUGCAAAAAUUAAUUUAAUCAAGCAAUCUAAAUUGUGUCGAGCGCAUAAAUAAUGUCUUACAAAGGUGCAGAGCCAUAUUAAUAUUACUCCUUUAUCGUUUUGCACAUACAUAAUGCACAAAAGAGUAUUCUACAUUCUUUGGAACGGGCAAUCUCAUCGCUGUUGGUAGAUUAUAAUAUGGGUUAUUUUAUAGACAAUUUUUUUUCUUAUUCGUUAUAAAUUGUCUUAGUUUUAAUAUUUCAAAUUUUAGAAGUACAAUUAAUGUAGAAGCCUUUAA